rnacentral:lncRNA from 1 species
CCAGACAACAUUCAGCAAGGACCUGAAGUCUGCCAACAGUUACAUGAGUGAGCCCGGAAGUGGAUCCUUCCCUAGUUGAGCCUUGAGAUGACCACAGCCCAGGAAAAGAAAGAAAUAAAAGCGAGACAAUUUCUGCAUCACUCCCUAGAACCACGGAAAUGAUUUUAAUUACCAAUUCAUCUGUUGGCAGACUCUUCUGGCAGAUGUACCUGCAACUUGGAAAGAUAACAAAUGAACCAAUUCCUUACUCCAGAGUUGACACUGAUAGUGCUUACUGAAUUUGCUCUCAGAAAAGAAUCCUGGGCAACAAUACAUCUGGCACUCUGCUCGAGGAAUUUGUCAUGUCAUUGACAUGUUCAGCCUCCAUUGUCCACACCACCCCGACAGCAGGUCCUUUAUAUUUCAAAGAAAUUGCAGCCUGAAUUAAUAUAAUUAGAAUGUAACUGCUAUUCACUGCAGAAACUCCUUAUUUCCAGGAGUGGAGAUCUGAUAGCAUGUCUGUACUUAAAAUCUUUCCCAUGAUGGUUGGAGGGGAGCAAGCAGAUAAUAAAAUGACAGAAUAUAUGCUAUUUCACAGACUUUUUGAAGUAUUAGCUAAUGGAAAUAUAGGGGGAGAAGAAAACUGUUCUACCCUUGGCAUGUAUAAAUAGAAACAUCUUUUAAGUUUACUUGCCUUUAUAGUACUUCCAUAAAAUAUGUUCUAAAGAGUAUCUAAACUCAGAGAAAUAAAUUAAAUCAGAAAGAUUACAUAUCUCCAAAAAGUAUGCAAUGAAGCAUGAAGUAGAGUGGCUAAUUCAUAGACAGAAUUACAGAUUUCAGAGAUGGUUGAAUAACUUCAGUCAUUUUUCCCUGCUUCCCUUUGAACAGUUGAUGUCACCAACUAAGCAACUGUCACCAAGUUAAUAACUUGGAUGCUGGAUUUUUGAAUUUUAUUCUUUGUUAGCAUUCUGUUUCUACAAAUACUUGAUUAUUGAUAUAGUGGAAACUGACAUUGGCAUCUUUCUUUUGAAAAUAAGAUUGAUUCACAUUCUUCCAAAUAAGUUAACAUUCUCACUGGGAAUGAUUCAUUUGAGGGAGAACAAUGGCCUGGCAUAUCAAUGUAUAGGCUGGUGCUUAUGGCCUCUUCUCUGAAGAAUAUAAUGUUUAUCCUUGUACAUGUUAUAGACUGUUUGUAUCCUUCUGAAAUGUAUAUGUUGAAGCCCUAAUUCCCAGGGUAAUGGUAUUUGGAUAUGCAGCCUUUAGGUAAUUAGAUUUAGGAGUCUUGAGGGUGGAGCUCUCAUGAUGGAAUUAGUGUCCUUGUAAGAAGAGGAAACAAAGAUCAGAGUGCUUGCUCUCUCUUUCUCUCUCUCUCUCUCUCUCUCUCUCUCUCUCUCUCUCUCUCCCCCCCUCCCCUCUGAGCCCUGCCUCCAGACCUCCGACUAUGUGAAGAUACAGUGGGAAGAUGACUGUCCACAAUAUAGGAAGAGAGCCCUCACUGAGAAACCAAAUUGGCCAGUAUCUUGAUCUUGGAUUUCUCAGCCUCAAGAACCCUGAGAAAUAAAUGUCUGUUGUUCAAGCCA